rnacentral:rRNA from 1 species
GACGAACUGUCCAAACGUUGUUCGGAAUCACUGGGCUUAAAGGGCGCGUAGGCGGUCAAACAAGUCAAGGGUGAAAUCCUGCAGCUUAACUGUAGAAGUGCCUUUGAUACUGUUUGUCUGGAGGGAGAUAGGGGUGUGCGGAACUUCCAGUGGAGCGGUGAAAUGCGUUGAUAUCGGGAGGAAGGCCGGUGGCGAAGGCGGCCCUCUGGUGCUUGACUGACGCUGAGGCGCUAAAGCGUGGGGAGCAAACAGGAUUAGAAACCCCGGUA